UAAGUAAUCAGCACAAAGGGGGUUAAUCUUAGGCCUGAGGUUUGGGGCUGGGUGACAAGGAAGUAAAACUCGUCCUCCCUGCCAGAUUCUACCCCCUUUCGGAGCUGAGCUCCAGCCAAACCUGUGGAGUUUUCUUUGACCAUUUUAGGACAUGUUACUGCUUCUGAGUUGGCUGCCCCGGCUGCUUAAACAAGACCUUUCUCCUGGGUUCCUAGUAGUGAAAAGGAGCAGCAGAGCAACUGAGGAGGAGGGCGGGUGGGAGGCAUGGGACUGGGGCUUGGGGAGGUGAGGCGAGACCGGGGCGAGAGCUCAGAGAAGCUCCUGUGACUUCCAUGCUAAGAUCUUGCCAGAGAACUCUGGUCAGUCCUCGGGUGUCUGGAUGAAGUAAAGGAGUUAGGCAUUUCUUCCUUUGAUUCUCUGGCUUACCUAAUAGAGUCAGAUGUGGUCUGCUGGGGAUGGACAGAGGGUCUGUAGAAGUCUCCUAGGCUUUAGUGACCCAUCCUCUGCCUCCGCCUCUAUGGUGGCCAGCAUGAACCAGGAUUGUUUGAAGGGGUUGUAUCCUCUAAGCCAGCGACCUGGUUUUAUGUUGAGCGAAGAGGCGGACGCCCUCCCUAGAGGAGAGUGCAGCUGGAUCAGGAUGCUUGUGCAGAGGAUGCCCUGUCUGCACAUUUACCAGCGUUUUCCCUACCCCCAGCUCCUUGGGGGAUUCUUUUUCCUGGAGUCAUUCACUACUUUUUGCAAAGGAAGUAUGCUAUGCUUAGUGCCCAAACCAAAACUGUCUUCACUUUUUCUGUCCUCCUAGAAAGUGAUCAAUCAAGAGCCAUGGCAGGAGAAGGAAUGGCCAGAGAAGGUUACUCAGAAGGGAGGAUGAGGGGUGGCUUCCCUCAGGUGAAGGUUUCACUGAGAAUAAUUGAGUUUUCUCCUCCUAACCACGUCCAGCACUUGCCCAGUUUCCCUCAAUGUGGAAUGAAACCCCUGGGCCAGUCACUGCAUUUCCCGUAAAAGGAAUGUUAUCUUGGAAAGGGCAUAAAGCAUCAGCCAAGUCAGAGAAGUUCAGAAACAUUUCCAGGAAUGCAGUUCAUUUGGAACCCCCUGGCUUUGCACUUGCGUGUCUUAGAGACAGUGUGCCUUCAACUUUACCUUCCAUCCAGGGCUAUUUCCUGUUGCAUCUGUCAAAUGAGGGCAGUGACUUAAAAGAGUAAUAUGGUCUUCCCAGCUUCGUCAUCCUCUGCUUCCCGCUGACCAGGGGACCUUGCCACGGAAUGUCUACCCUAGGCAUUGAGGCAUCUGGCAACUGCUUCCUUGUCACUAAAAAGUAAGAGAAAGAAGGACAGAUUGCCUGGGUGGAGAAGAGUGGGAGGUGGCCUAGUGGAGAAAGCAGGAUUAAGAGAAGGGAGGGAAAGAUUUAGGGAGUUUGGCUAAUGGAGCCCUUUACCUGUUGGAAGGGCAGCAAGCAAAAGUUUUACCAGAGUUUUCCCUACCCCCAGCUCCUUGGGGGAUUUUUUGUUUUGUUUCAUUUUUGUUUUUGUUUUUUUGCCUUGAGUAAUUUUCACAUGCGGAGUUAUUCACAACUUUUUGCAAAGUACUAUUUUCAUUGGCUUUUCAGAGCCAGUGAAGUUGCCUUCUCCUCCAACAUGACCACAUUUUCCUCUGAGCAGACAAAAACAGAACAAAUAAGUUUGCGGGCUUGCUUGGAGGUUGAAAGAAAUAAGUCCAGUUAAAAUGAGAGUUUAGCCCGGUGCCCUGGCUCAUGCCUGUAAUCCCAGCACUUUGGGAACUUUGGGAGGCGAAGGCAGGCAGAUAACCUGAGGUCAGGAGUUUGAGACCAGCCUGACCAACAUGGUGAUACCCCAUCUCCACUAAAAAUACAAAAUUAGCCAGGUGUGGUGGCUCAUGCCUGUAGUCCCAGCUACCUGGGAGGCUGAGGCAGGAGAACCCGGGAGGCAGAGGUUGCAGUGAGCUGAGAUCGCACCAUUGCACUCCAGCCUGGGCAAGAAGAGGGAAACUCCAUCUCAAAAAAAAAAAAAAAAAAAAAAAAAAAAUGAGAGUUGAGCAGCUCAGUCCCAGGAAGUCAAGAAACCCCUUCUACAGCCAAGUUAUGGUUGUUUUCCACCAGGACCUGGUUGAUUCAGUGUCUGGGGGCUGGAAAGUGAGGUUUUUAUAAAGCAGAGGGAGCUGAACAUCCCUGAGAUAGAAGAGGAGGCUAAAUACCUCUAAGACUCUAGAGUAGCAUUGUCCCAAAGAAUUUUCUGCAAUGAUGGAACUGUUCUAUGUCCAUGCUGCUCAGUUCAGUGGUCACUAGUCAUAUGAGUCUAUUGAACAUUUAAAACAUGACCAGUUGGCCGGGCAUGGUGGCUCACACCUGUAAUCCCUUUGGGAAGCUGAGGCAGGAGCAUUGUUUACGCUCAUGAGUUCAAGACCAGCCUGAACAACAUAGUGAGACCCUAUUUCUACAAAAAAUAAAAUUAGCCAGGUGUGGUGGUGCAUGCCUCCUGGGAGGCUGAGACAGGAGGAUUGCUUGAGCCCAGGAUGCCAAGGCUGCAGUAAGCCAUGGUUGCACUACUGCACUCUCCAUCCUGGGUGACAGAGCGAGACCUUGUCUCAAAAAUAAUAAUAGGCUAGGCGUGGUAGCUCAUACCCAGCCUAUAAUCCCAGCACUUUGGGAGGCCAAGGGCAGGGGCGGAUCACUUGAGGUCAGGAGUUCAAGACCAGCCUGGCCAACAUGGUGAAACCUCGACUCUACUAAAAAAAAAAAAAUAUAUGAUACAAAAAUUGGCUGGGCACGGUGGCUCACGCCUGUAAUCCCAGCACUUUGGGAGGCUGAGGCGGGUGGAUCACAAGGUCAGGAGAUCGAGACCAUCCUGGCUAACACGGUGAAACCCCAUCUCUACUAAAAAUACAAAAAAAUUAGCCAGGCGUGGUGGUGGGUGCCUGUAGUCCCAGCUACUCAGGAGGCUGAGGCAGGAGAAUGGCGUGAACCAGGGAGGCGGAGCUUGCAGUGAGCCAAGAUCGUGCCACUGCACUCCAGCCUGGACAACAGAGCGAGACUCCAUCUCAAAAAAAAAAAAAAAAAAGUAUAUAUAUAUAUAUAUAUAUACACACACACACACAAAUUAGCCAGGCAUGGUGGCACGUGCCUGUAGUCCCAGCUAUUCAAGAGGUUGAGGCAGGGAAAUUGCUUGAACCUGGGAGGCAGAGGUUGCAGUGAGCCAAGAUUGCACCAUUGCACUCCAGCCUGGAUGACAGAGCAAGACUCCAUCUCAAAUAAUAAUAAUAAGGCUAGUAUGACUAAGGAGCUACAUUUUAAUUUUAUUAUACUUCAUUUUAAUUUAGAUAGCCAUGUGUGGCUAAGGGCUACCAUAUUGAGAAGUGCUGCUAAAGAGCAAGACUGAUUUUUCUCUCUCCCCGCUGACAGGAGGUUAUGAGGGAGAGGGGAUUGGGGCCUCUUGGGGUUUUUAGAUCUGACGCUGGUCUGAAAUCUCUACCUGAGGGUAGGAGGGAGAGUGGGGCUCUGGAGGAGUGUGUUAUUCACACUCAGAGAGUCUGUGAUUGGAAGGUGCCUGAACACCCACUUGCACCUCUCCUUUUGUUGUUGUUUGCAGUCUUGAGGAUACUGGCUAAGCCUCUGCCUACGCAGUGAGUCCUGUUCCUUCUCCUCUCCAGGUCUUCCCUCUUUAACCAACAUUUCCCUCUCUGCUGAUUCUUCCUUUCUGCCUUCAAAUGCAAGUCCCUGCUACCUCCAACCAGGAAACUUUUCAAAUGAAUGAACUGAAGCAAUUUCUCCCCUUUGUCACAUGCUCCCUCUGCCACAGAAGACUUGCUUUCUUACUCAUAGUGCCCCUUUCCUGACCGGUUCAGGGCUGGUUCAGAGUUCAUCCUUUUUAACGUUCUUGUCACUCUGACCCUAUUAAUGAGGUCUUUGUUGCACCGUCUCUCCUCCUGUAGCUUCUGUGGCCUUCUUGGCUCCAUAGCCCUCCUCUGCCUUCUCUGCCUGAGGUGCUUGUUUCAUACUCCUGAACUGUGAGUGUCUUCUAAGGCUUGUUUCCUGACUUUUUCCUCACUCCACAUCAUCCUCCUUGACAGUACAGCUAUGUAUGUGACCUUAGCUACCACCUCUCCACAAAUGAGUCCUCGACCUGAAUCUCUUAUUCUGAUCCUUCACCAGUGGAAAGGAUAGAAACUAGAGCAUAGCUUCCAUAAGAUUAUGGGCAAAUAGUCCAGGCACGGUGGCUCACGCCUGUAAUCACAGCACUUUGGGAGGCCGAAGUGGGCAGAUCACGAGGUCAGGAGAUCGAGACCAUCCUGGCCAACAUGGUGAAACCCCGUCUCUACUAAAAAUAGAAAAAAAUCAGCUGGGCGUGGUGGCGGGCUCCUGUAGUCCCAGCUACUCGGGAGGCUGAGGCAGGAGAAUUGCUUGAACCUGGGAGGUGGAGGUUGCAGUGAGCAGAGAUCAUGCCACUGCACUGCAGCCUGGUGACCGAGCAAGACUCCGUCUCAAAAAAAAAAAGAAAAGAAAAGAAAAGAAAAGAAAAAGAUUAUGGGCAAAUAGAACCCUGGCAUCUUCUGGGACAGAAAGUGACUGUUGAAAAACAUUCCAAUUUACCAAAGGCCAAAUAAUAAGAUGCUUUUUAUGUGCCAAUCACUGUUCGCAGCGUUAGCUCAUUUAAUGCAUUAACUCAUUUAGUUCUGGUAGAGAGAGUUCUAGUGUACUCAUUUGCACUGCCACCCAAGUCCGCAUCCACACCAAGAAGUAAAUGGAUGUAGCAUGCCACUGCAUACACUGCGAACGCAGACAAGCACUCCUUUUGGGAUUCUUUUCCUUUUGGGAUUCUAUUCUGUUCCAUAACAUGUCAUUUCUCUCCUGUAAGCCCCUUCUCUGCCACAUCAAUGCUGUCCUCUAACUAUGCCAUAAAUAUUUUCCAUCAUCUUUCUGUUCCUAAAUCACUGUGUGCUGUUGAUAUUCCACCAAUACAGUACACUUAACAUGUACAAAAUUUUAGAUUUCACUAUCACCUCUCAAAAGCUGGCUUGCUUUCUAAGAUUUUCCCAUUUAUGUCAGUGCCAUCACCAUUUCCUAGGCCCCCAAACUUGAAACUCACGAGUUUUUCAUCCCUCUAAUAUCCCUCGCCUCUUCCCAGGUCUUCCCCAGCCCUUUCCCUUGCAAUUUAAUCUUUUUGUUGUUUUCUGUGAAAUAUCUCUCAAUCGACUUAUUCAUUCUACAAAUAUUCGAGGCCUACUUCAUCCCAGGCACUGUAUUAGUUCUAGAGACUCGGGGAUAAGACACUAUUCCUGCCUUCAACGAGCUCACAACCUGGUAGGGAAGACAGUGAGGUUUACAGGCAUAGUGCAGUGUUAUAGGCACUGCAACAGGGACAACACAGGUGCUUUGAGAGCACAGCAGAGAGAUGUCUCCUGCCACUAAGGAAGAAAGGGAAGGUUUCUCAAAGAAACUGGUGGCCAGGCACAGUGGCUCAUGCCUCUAAUCCCAGCACUUUGGGAGGCUGGAGCAGGCAGAUUGCUUGAGCUCAUGAGUUCGAGACCAGCCUCACCAACGUGGCAAAACCUUGUCUCUACAAAAAAAUACAGAAAUUAGCUGGGCAUGGUGGUGCACACUUACAGUUCCCAGCUACUAGGGAGGCUGAGUUGGGAAGAUGGCUUGAGCCUGGGAGGCGGAGGUUGCAGUGAGGUGAGAUCAUGCCACUGCACUCCAGUCUGGCGACAAAGAAAGACUCUGUCUCAAAAAAAAAAAAAAAAGAAAGAAAAGGCCGGGCACGGUGGCUCAUGCCUGUAAUCCCAGCACGUUGGGAGGCCAAGGCGGGUGGAUCACAAGGUCAGAAGUUCAAGACCAGCCUGACCAACAUGGUGAAACCCCAUCUCUACUAAAAAUACAAAAAUUAGCUGGGUAUGGUGGCACAUGCCUGUAAUCCCAGCUACUUGGGAGGUGGGAGGCUGAGGCAAGAGAAUCGCUGGAACCCAGGAGGCGGAGGUGGCAGUGAGCCGAGAUCGUGCCACUGCACUCCAGCCUGGGCAACAGAGCAAGACUUUGUCUCAAAAAAAAAAAAAGAAAAAAAAACUGUGAUGUAAUUAUUUUGUAAAUGUGGAGGGGAUGACAACUGGGGAAAAGGUGUGGGCAUGAUUUGUUAGAUUCUCAUCUGCCAUAAAUGAAAGUCAAUGCAUAAUGUCUCAAAUUGAUAAGCCAUGAAAUAUCCAUAACGCUUACUGUUUAGAAACACGAAAGUAGAUCCCAGAAGAAAACAAUUAAAAACAAUAAAAAAAAGUUUGCUUCUGGGGAGUAGAUCUCAAAGGUGGUAGGGAAUUAUUUUUUUCAUUAUAAGCACUCUAGCACCAACUUACAUUUAAAUUCAUGCAUACUAUUUUAAUAGAAAAAAAUGUCAAGGACAAUUGGGAAGGUAAGAAGUAGCCAUCGUGAAUCUAAACAGCUUUCUCAAGAAUUUUGACAAUAAAGGAAAAGAAAUAAUAUCUGAUACAUAUGUAGCCUUAACAUUAGCUAGGUACCAUUCUGAACGCUUUAGGUAUAUUAACUGUUUAAUCCUCGUCUCAAACCUAUGAAGCAGGUACUGUUACUGGCCCCAUUUUACAGAUGAGGAAACAGUUCUCACAGCUAGUAAGUGGCAGAGCUGGGAUUAGAACCCAAGCUUAGUGGCUCCAGAGCCCAUGCUCUUAACGCUGGUAGGUGGCAGGAAGUGAAGAAUUGAGAAAGGGUUUAUUUGUUUUUGUUUUUCAUUUGUAGUAGGAAAGGUGCUAGCAAAAAGGUCCAGCCAAGAAGAUGGAUAAUCAGGCUGAGCCAUUGUUUGACUUUUGCCAAGUAUUGCUGUGAAAGGACAAGAAAGUGAAGGGAGCUUGAGAAUGUAAACACACAUGUUGGAUGAGCCAUGGAAUCUCAGCCAGUUAGGAGAAAGGAGCUUGAGGGGUUGUGGGAAAAUGAGGGGGUCAAGAAGAGAGUGGGGAAAGUGGAAGGAGAGAGGUUGUUUUCAAAGAAAUGGGACAUUGGCUUUGAAGAGGUGACAGAUGGAAUUAUAGAAAAUGAGGCUGGGUGUGGUGGCUCGUGCCUGUAAUCCCAGCACUUUGGGAGGCCAAGGCAGGCAGGUGGAUCACCUGAGGUCAGGAGUUCGAGACCAGCCUGGCCAACACGGUGAAACCCCGUCUCUACUAAAACUACAAAAAUUAGCUGGGUGUGGUGGCACGCGCCUGUAAUCCCAGCUACUUGGGAGGCUGAGGCAGGAGAAUUGCUUGAACCCAGGAGGUAGAGGUGGCAGUGAGCCAAGCAUCUAGCGGCUGCACUCCAGCCUGGGUGACAGAGCUAGACUCCGUCUCAAACAAACAAACACCCCUGUCCUUGCUCAGUCAUCUAUAAUAGCUCUUAGUUGCUUAUUUAAAACAAAAAUCUUUAAAGCCCAUCCCACCCUAGGUUACCCAGCCCCUACUUUCAGUGCCUCUCUGAGCUACUGUGUCUGUAAAAUCAAGGUAUUGUACUCUGCCUUGCAUAUUGGAAUAAUUUUUUUUUUUUGAGACAGGCUCUCACUCUAUUGCCCAGGCUAGAGUGCAGAGGCACAGUCAUGGUUCACUGCAGCCUCAACCUCCUGGGCUCAAGCCAUCCUCCCACCCUCAACCUCCUGAGUAGCUGGGACCACAGGUACUUACCACUAUAUCCAGCUAAUUUUUUAUUUUUUUGUAAAGAUGAUGUCUCCCAGGCUGAAGUUAUCCUCCACCAUGCCUGGAGUGAGCCACCAUGCCUGGCCUGGAAUAAAUUAAUGGAAGAAAGGGUGCUUUAAAAAGAAUUGUAUUCGGCCGGGUGCAGUGGCUCACGCCUGUAAUCCCAGCACUUUCGGAGGCUGAGGCGGGUGGAUCAUAAGGUCAAGAGAUUGAGACCAUCCUGGCCAACAUGGUGAAACCCCAUCUCUACUAAAAAUACAAAAAUUAGGUGGCCAUGGUGGCGUGCACCUGUAGUCCUAGCUACUUGGGAAGCUGAGGCAGGAGAAUCACUUGAACCCAGAAGGCAGAGGUUGCAGUGAGCCAAGAUCAUGCCACUGCACUCCAGCCUGGCAACAGAGAGAGACUCUGUCUCAAAAAAAAAAAAAAAAAAAGAAUCGUUCUCAUUACAGCCUAAUUUCUUAAUAGUCCCCAGUUGAGUCUUCCUCUUCAGUAGUUUUUUGUUUUUGUUUUUGUUUUAAUAAUUGUAGAUUUACAGGAGGUUUCAAAGAAAUGUACAAGAGAAGUCCCGUGCACCCUUCUUCCAGUCUUAAUGUUUCACACAAUUAAAGUAUAAUAUCAAAACCAAGAAAUUGACAUUGGUACAAUCCAUAGAGCUUAUUUGGAGUUCACCAGAUACACAUGCUGUCAAUAUUUGUAUAUGUGCAUGUGUAUGCAAUUGUAUCACAUGUAGCCUUGCAUAACUACCACCACAACCAAGAUCCAGAACAAUUCCAUUAUCACAAGACUCCUUUGUGUUACCCCUUUCUGGCCACACCCAUCCCCUCCCCUGUCCCUGGCCCCUGACACCCAUUUAUCUGUUAUCUAUCACUGCAGGUACUUCAAUUAACAUCACCUAAAUGGAAUUGUGUACUACGCAUCCUUUUUCUUUUUUUUUUUUUUCUUUGAGACAGGGUCUUGUUCUGUUGCCCAGGCUGGAGUGUGGUGGCAUGAGCAUGGCUCACUGCAAUCUCCACCUCCCAGGCUCAAGCGAUCCUCCCACCUCACCCUCCCUGGUAGUGGGACCACAGGUGCACACCACCACACCUGGCUAUAUGCUUCUUUUGAGAUUGCUUUUUUCACUCACAUAAUUUGCUUGAAAUUUAUCCACCAGCAUUUUUUAAAAAUUAACUGUGCAUCGUCUUCAGUGAGAUGUGUGCAUUUCGUCUUUGUUCAUGCCUUUUCCACUGCCUAGAAUGCCCCCUACCAACCCUGUCUACCGAUCUGUAUUCAUUUCCUUCAGUGUGUCUCACUGCUGUGUGCCUAAACCCAUCUGACUUAUUUCUCUUCCUUUAUCAAUUAUGUAUAUUUCCCAUACCAUAUCAUUUUCCACUUGCAGGUAGGAGACAGGGACCACGCCCAUCUUAUCUUUAUAUUCCCAGCAUCUAGUACAGUGCCUGAAAUGGAGGAGGUACCCAGUAAAUAAUGUUUUGGAUGAAUGAAUGAUUGAAGUUGCUCUGCUGGAUUCUUAUAUUGUGUCUUGGGCAUGUGUUGUCUUCCCAACUGCACUCAAAGCUACGUUGUAAACUUGAGAGCAGCAGCUCCAUUCCAUUUACUAGUAUAGGCGAGGCCCUGCACCUCACAUACACGUUCUCUAAUCCUUCUAAGAACCCCCUAGAUUAGACUUUGUAAC
rnacentral:sRNA from 1 species